GUAGUUUCUAAAAAUUAAACAUAAGGAAGUAUCUGUUCUUAUCAGUUUAAUACCUGAUAUGUCCUCUAUACUAAAGGACAAUACACUAAAUGGAUUUUUGGAGCAGGGAGAUGGAAUAGGAGCUUGCUCUGUCCACUCUAUGCAUCAUCCUGGUAUUGCAGGACCUCUGGGAACAGUGCACUGGUU